UGUUAAACAGAUUCAGUGGUAGGCAGAAAACGUUUUUCAUGCGUCUGGUGCAUUCCACAGUCACCACAAGUAGUUGAAACUAGUUGUCCUAUAAAAGGAGUGAUGUGUACACGGAAAGGAAUGCACAAGGAAUGCAACAAAUCAGUUGUUACACAGCUCACUCGUGCGCACAUUGGAUAUAUUGGCUCAGUAGUGCACUUGCCCUCGAGGCUUGUGGCCCUCGGGCCUAAGUCACUACUGAGCCAUGUGGCACUCGUGCAUGUGUCACAACUAUAAUUGUUGCAUUUUGAGUGGGCAGAUCAAAGGAAACACUGUGCCAAUAUCUGCCACAUGGCACAGGUCAAGCCUUGAACUGUGCCAAUAUCACUCGUGCAUGUGUCACAACUAUAACAUAGAGGUCACUGUAGCCAGGUUUGAAUUCAAGUUUGUAUAGAGAUCUUGUCCAAAAGAGCUUAUACGUCAUGGGAUCAUGUGAGUCUCAACCAAGGCAAUGUUACCAGAGUUGCUCGUGUGGCGGAUGCCUAGGAUGUCUACUUUGUUGUUGUGGAUGUGGAUAUGGAUUUGGUAUGGCUCCUAAUUCUCCUAAUAGGAAACAAGUUUUGACAUCAAAAACCUCCACUGAUCCAUCCCUUCCCCCACACCCCCCAGUUAUUCAGAAGUUCUACUCGCCUACUCCUCCAACUCCUCCAAAUUAGCCUCCUCAAGAAAAGACAAGAAAACUGCUUAGAAUAGCUUAGUCAUGGUAUAUACUGUAUGUAUAUAAGCUUUGGUAGUGGAUACCACAUGAUUAUGAUUUUGUGCUUUAGUGAUAGUAAUAAUGACCCUCUUAAUGUUAUAACUUUGUCA